rnacentral:rRNA from 1 species
UGCCCAGACUCCUACGGGAGGCAGCAGUGGGGGAUAUUGCACAAUGGGGGGAACCCUGAUGCAGCGACGCCGCGUGGGUGAAGAAGUCUUUCGGUAUGUAAAGCCCUAUCGGCAGGGAAGAAUUUAGACGGUACCUGACUAAGAAGCCCCGGCUAACUACGUGCCAGCAGCCGCGGUAAUACGUAGGGGGCAAGCGUUAUCCGGAUUCACUGGGUGUGAAGGGAGCGUAGACGGCCAUGCAAGCCUGGAGUGAAAGCCCGGGGCCCAACCCCGGGACUGCUCUGGGAACUGUGCGGCUGGAGUGCGGGAGGGGCAGGCGGAAUUCCUGGUGUAGCGGUGAAAUGCGUAGAUAUCAGGAGGAACACCGGCGGCGAAGGCGGCCUGCUGGACCGCGACUGACGUUGAGGCUCGAAAGCGUGGGGAGCAAACAGGAUUAGAUACCCCGGUACC